UACGUAGGGUGCAAGCGUUGUCCGGAUUUAUUGGGCGUAAAGAGCUCGUAGGUGGCUGAGUAAGUCGGAUGUUAAAAUCCCCCAGGCUCAACCUGGGACACCACCCCGAUACUGCUCUGGCUAGAGUCCGGUAGGGGAGCGUGGAAUUCCUGGUGUAGCGGUGAAAUGCGCAGAUAUCGGGAAGAACACCCGUGGCGAAGGCGGCACUCUGGGACGGUACUGACGCUGAGACGCGAAAGCGUGGGGAGCGAACAGG
rnacentral:rRNA from 1 species